UCGGGAAUUUUGGGCAAUGGGGGCAACCCUGAUGCAGCGACGCCGCGUGGGUGAUGAAGGUUUUCGGAUCGUAAAGCCCUUUUCUGCAUGACGAGCACAGGACGGUAGUGCAGGAAUAAGUGUCGGCUAACUACGUGCCAGCAGCCGCGGUAAAACGUAGGACACAAGCGUUAUCCGGAAUUACUGGGCGUAAAGGGCGUGCAGGCGGUUGCGUAAGUUAGGCGUGAAAGACUUCGGCUAAACCGGGGGAGGUCGUCUGAUACUGCGCAACUAGAGUAUGGUAGAGGCGUGUAGAAUUCCGGGUGUAGUGGUGAAAUGCGUAGAGAUCCGGAGGAAUACCAGUGGCGAAGGCGGCACGCUGGGCCAUAACUGACGCUAAGACGCGAAAGCAUGGGUAGCGAACGGGAUUAGAUACCCCCGUAGUCCCUGAGCGGGCUGGCAAGGCGCAU
rnacentral:rRNA from 1 species